UACGGAGGGUGCAAGCGUUAUUCGGAUUUACUGGGCUUAAAGGGUGCGCAGGCGGGCUUUUAAGUCAGCGGUGAAAUCUCCGGGCUCAACUCGGAAAUUGCCGUUGAUACUAUUAGUCUUGAAUUAAGUUGAGGUGGGCGGAAUAAGUCAUGUAGCGGUGAAAUGCUUAGAUAUGACUUAGAACACCGAUUGCGAAGGCAGCUCGCUAGACUUAUAUUGACGCUGAGGCACGAAAGCGUGGGGAUCAAACAGG
rnacentral:rRNA from 1 species